rnacentral:tRNA from 1 species
UUAAAAAUAAGCUAAUUUAAGCUUUUGGGUUCAUACCCCAACUAUAAAGAUAUACUCUUUUUUUUAAA